AUGGCUCGGCGCCAACGCCGCUGCUGCUUCGUCGCCCGUGUCGCCAUGGUCCUCCUUGUGCCUUUGCUUCUUCACUUGCGGCUCCGCCGCCCCAUGUCCACGUCGCCGGCCACCAGCAGGACGCCGCCGCAGCGCCGACCAGCGCCGGCCUCGACCGCCUCCUCUGCUCCGCCUCCAUCGCCGGCGACCACGACCAGCGCCCACCUAUGGGAGCUCUACGCCCCUGCCUCGUCCUCUUCUGUGGCUGCAGAAGCCUGCCACGAGCGUGCCGCCGUGCUGCUUCGCCGUCCAUGGCCCUGGCCUCCUGCCACGGAGCUGACGCUGCCGGCGUCCACCUCCUCGCCCAUGCCUCCCCGUCGCUCUUCCUUCACGUGA
rnacentral:rRNA from 1 species